AUGGCGGCGAGGCAUCUCCUCCUUCUCGCGCUUGUCUGCCUACAUGCUCCGCACUCGGCUUCGGCUCAGCAGCCGGAGGAGGCGACGGUCAUAGUUAAAGGAUCCACUAAAAUUGCUGUGACGGAUGUGAAUUACAUCUGCGCCACCAUUGACUGGUGGCCGCCGGAGAAGUGCAACUACAAUCAGUGCCCAUGGGGCCAAUCUUCCAUUCUGAAUUUGGAUUUGGAUCACCCCUUUCUGGCUCAAGCCAUUCAAGAAUUUCAUAAUUUGAGGAUUAGGCUGGGAGGCUCUUUGCAAGACCGAGUUGUUUACGAUGUUGGGACAAAUAGUCCGUGCUCUCCAUUCACAAAUGUGUCAAAUGGUUUGUUUGGUUUUUCAGCCGGUUGUCUAAGUAUGGAUAGGUGGGAUAAACUGAAUGAUCUAUUCCAAAAAACAGGAGCAAUUAUCACAUUUGGUCUGAAUGCACUCCAUGGAAGGUAUAAUGUCCAACGUUCCUUCUGGGCAGGGAAGUGGAACUCUACAAACACCUAUGAUUUUGUCGAAUACACAAUCUCAAAAGGAUAUCCAGUUGACUCGUGGGAAUUCGGUAAUGAGCUGAGUGGGCAUGGAACCGGGGCAAGAGUUGACGCCAAACUUUAUGGAAAGGAUGUAAUUGAACUUAAAUCCAUACUCCGGCAGUUGUAUAGGACACCGCUCUCCCAGCCACUCCUGUUAGCCCCUGGAGGAUUCUUUGAUCAACAGUGGUACACCCAGUUACUUCAGACUUCAGGUCACGGUGUUGUUAAUGCCUUGACGCAUCACAUUUACAAUCUUGGUGGAGGGGAUGAUGUCCACCUUAUGAGGAAGAUAGUAGAUCCUAAGUACCUAGAUCGUGCUGAAGACACUUACCGGGACAUGCAACUUACCCUUCAAAGGCAUGGAACAUGGGCUUCUUCUUGGGUUAGUGAAAGCGGUGGGGUGUUCAACAAUGGCCGUCAACUGGUGUCAAAUACUUUCAUGAACAGCAUCUGGUACCUCGAUCAACUUGGAAUGGCAUCGAAGUACAACACAAAAGUGUUCUGCAGGCAGACUCUCAUCGGUGGCAACUACGGUCUGCUUGACACGCAGACGUUCUUGCCAAAUCCUGAUUACUACAGUGCUCUGCUAUGGCAUCGGCUUAUGGGCAAUGGAGUUCUGUCAGUCGAUAUAAAUGCACCGCGUAAGCUGCGUGCUUAUGCCCACUGCAGCAAGCGACACAAAGGGAUCACGCUCCUCCUGAUCAAUCUGAGCAACAGCACCGUGUACAAUGUGACCCUCCAGAACGACCUCAACGUGAGCGUCGAGAGGAGAACCGGCCACCGGAGGCGCAGCGGCGGCCUGAGAAGAGCAGUGUCAUGGCUGGGAAGCAAGCAGUCGAGCGAGAGCACGAAGAGGGACGAGUACCAUUUGACCGCCAAGGACGGCGACCACCAGAGCAGGACGAUGCUGCUCAACGGCGUCCCGCUGGAGCUGGGAGACGGCGGCGGCGUGCCGGCCCUGAACCCGGUGCCCGCCGCCGUGGAUUCGCCCGUGCACCUGGCCCCGACGUCGAUCGCCUUUGUGGUCCUGCCGAGGUUCGAGGCCAAAGCCUGUUCUUGA
rnacentral:rRNA from 1 species